GACGAACGCUGGCGGCGUGCUUAACACAUGCGAGUCGAACGGAAAGGCCCUGCUUUUGUGGGGUGCUCGAGUGGCGAACGGGUGAGUAACACGUGAGUAACCUGCCCUUGACUUUGGGAUAACUUCAGGAAACUGGGGCUAAUACCGGAUAGGAGCUCCUGCUGCAUGGUGGGGGUUGGAAAGUUUCGGCGGUUGGGGAUGGACUCGCGGCUUAUCAGCUUGUUGGUGGGGUAGUGGCUUACCAAGGCUUUGACGGGUAGCCGGCCUGAGAGGGUGACCGGCCACAUUGGGACUGAGAGACGGCACAGACUCCUACGGGAGGCAGCAGUGGGGAAUAUUGCACAAUGGGCGGAAGCCUGAUGCAGCAACGCCGCGUGCGGGAUGACGGCCUUCGGGUUGUAAACCGCUUUCGCCUGUGACGAAGCGUGAGUGACGGUAAUGGGUAAAGAAGCACCGGCUAACUACGUG
rnacentral:rRNA from 1 species